rnacentral:sRNA from 1 species
AGCGAGAAAACGUUGCCGCAGGCAACGACCCGAAGGGUGAGGAGCGGAGCGACGAAUAAUCCUUCCCCCACCACCA